rnacentral:rRNA from 1 species
GAUGAACGCUGGCGGCGUGCCUAAUACAUGCAAGUCGAACGAAUCUUCUUCGGAAGAUGAGUGGCGAACGGGUGAGUAAUACAUCGGUAACCUGCCCCUGUGCGGGGGAUAACAGGAGGAAACUCCUGCUAAUGCCGCAUAGCCAUGAGCACCGCAUGGAGCUCAUGCCAAAUAUCCUUUAUGGGAUAGCGCAGGGAUGGACCUAUGGCGGAUUAGCUGGUUGGCGGGGCAACGGCCCACCACGGGAACGAUGCGUAGCCGGCCUGGGAGGGCGGACGGCCACAUUGGGACUGAGACACGGCCCAGACGCCUACGGGAGGCAGCAGUAGGGAAUUUUCGGCAAGGGGGGAAACCCUGACCGAGCAACGCCGCGUGAGCGAAGAAGGCCUUCGGGUCGUAAAGCUCUGUUGUAAAGGAAGAACGGCGCAUACAGGAAAUGGUAUGCGAGUGACGGUACUUUACCAGAAAGCCACGGCUAACUACGUGCCAGCAGCCGCCGUAA